GGACUGGGGCUCAGUGGUAGAGCACUCGCCUAGCAUACGUGAGGUCCUGGGUUCAAUCCUCAGCACCA
rnacentral:tRNA from 1 species